UACGGGGGAGGCAAGCGUUAUCCGGAAUUAUUGGGCGUAAAGCGUCCGCAGGUGGUCAGCCAAGUCUGCCGUCAAAUCAGGUUGCUUAACGACCUAAAGGCGGUGGAAACUGGCAGACUAGAGAGCAGUAGGGGUAGCAGGAAUUCCCAGUGUAGCGGUGAAAUGCGUAGAGAUUGGGAAGAACAUCGGUGGCGAAAGCGUGCUACUGGGCUGUAUCUGACACUCAGGGACGAAAGCUAGGGGAGCGAAAGGG
rnacentral:rRNA from 2 species